rnacentral:rRNA from 1 species
UACGUAGGGUGCAAGCGUUAAUCGGAAUUACUGGGCGUAAAGCGUGCGCAGGCGGUUUUGUAAGUAAGAGGUGAAAGCCCCGGGCUCAACCUGGGAAUUGCGAUGGAGACUGCAAGGCUAGAAUCUGGCAGAGGGGGGUAGAAUUCCACGUGUAGCAGUGAAAUGCGUAGAGAUGUGGAGGAACACCGAUGGCGAAGGCAGCCCCCUGGGUCAAGAUUGACGCUCAUGCACGAAAGCGUGGGGAGCAAACAGG